rnacentral:lncRNA from 1 species
AGGCAGAGGAAACUGCUUGGGGUAAAGAAAACAAAAAACGCAAAACCCAGCAUGGUGCGUACUGGAGAUGAGAAAAUGGAGGUACCAAAAAGUGGGCUCUGAACUGUGGAGCCUGGCUCCAGAGCCCUUGUAUUUGACUACUGGGAUCCACCGUUAUUCUCACAGCCGCGUUUCCCACAGGGCUGCUUUGUAUGGCCUCUUAGAAAAGUCCUGCCUGUCUCCACCAUCCAGACUAUGAUGUCCGUGAGGUCAGAGGAAAGGGAGAAUGUCUCACAUACAGAAAAUGCUUGAUCAACAUUGAUGGAAUCAUAAAUGGGCCUCAGCGGCACCUGUCCUGAGUCAGCAUCUCACAGAGGUUUUGCCAGCACCAGCCACAUCUCCAGCAUGAAGGUGAUUGUCUGAGUGUGUCCAGUCCAGUUCCUGCCUUAAUAAAAAUCACUGCUGCAAGGGAGAGGGCUGCCAAGGCCCUGCCUCCCUCCAACCCCA